rnacentral:rRNA from 1 species
GGGUGAGUAACGCGUGGGAAAUCUGCCGAGUAGCGGGGGACAACGUUUGGAAACGAACGCUAAUACCGCAUAACAAUGAGAAUCGCAUGAUUCUUAUUUGAAAGAAGCAAUUGCUUCACUACUUGAUGAUCCCGCGUUGUAUUAGCUAGUUGGUAGUGUAAAGGACUACCAAGGCGAUGAUACAUAGCCGACCUGAGAGGGUGAUCGGCCACACUGGGACUGAGACACGGCCCAGACUCCUACGGGAGGCAGCAGUAGGGAAUCUUCGGCAAUGGGGGCAACCCUGACCGAGCAACGCCGCGUGAGUGAAGAAGGUUUUCGGAUCGUAAAACUCUGUUGUUAGAGAAGAACGUUAAGUAGAGUGGAAAAUUACUUAAGUGACGGUAUCUAACCAGAAAGGGACGGCUAACUACGUGCCAGCAGCCGCGGUAAUACGUAGGUCCCAAGCGUUGUCCGGAUUUAUUGGGCGUAAAGCGAGCGCAGGUGGUUUCUUAAGUCUGAUGUAAAAGGCAGUGGCUCAACCAUUGUGUGCAUUGGAAACUGGGAGACUUGAGUGCAGGAGAGGAGAGUGGAAUUCCAUGUGUAGCGGUGAAAUGCGUAGAUAUAUGGAGGAACACCGG